GAGGCUGAUAUAGAGGAUUUGUAGCGGGAGAGCGAAGCUUAUCAAGUUGACUGGCCAUGAGUGCAUUGUUCCAAAAGCAACAAGUGUGGAAUAACGCGAACAGACCCACGCAGGAUGUUCCUGUUAUUUUCGAGAUUAAAAAAAAUUCUCGAGAGUUAUUUAUGAGAUCGCGCCAUGUAAGGAAAGAAAUUCCCCUUGAGUGUGCGGCCAUGGUGUUCUCCGUAAUCGAAUCAUCAUUCAAACAUAUCCGAUCAAUACAAACAUGAAUCUUCGAUUGAUAUUUUCGUUUGUAAGGAAACUAUGGAAUUGUGGGCGACUAUCAUCAAGAGCAGCGUUACUUCUUCUGACAUCCUGGUCCAUUCUAACCCAAUGAAGCAAUUGGUUUGGCUCGACCGCGGAUUCUUUGAGAACGCGACUUGCUUUCCAUACCGAGGUGUUAUUGGAAGCAGUAUCAGCAUGGUUCAUUCCAGUUUCAAAAAAGACAUUCGAUUUUCGGAGCGCUCCCGUCCAACGAAAUACUGGGACUUGAUCAAACGAACUUUGAGCUAUUCUGCUGACUAAUUCGGGAGGUCGCAAUCUCAGUCAGUCGACCUCUAAAACAAAUGAGGAUAAGGCAUGUCCGAUUUUGCUUGAAUGCUUCUGUCAGAGCUUUGGAUUGCAUUGCCACUAAAUAGUUAUGUAAGUAAACGCGAACUAGACUUAUCCCUGUUGUAAUUUACCACAAUGGGUAAACAAAAAGAAUCUAACCGUCAACUCAACAUUUUAUAAGGUUCAAUGAUUCGACAGCUUUCGACCAAGAAUUUAUACGUAAUUGAUAGGUACAAAUAGAACUAGCAUAAUAAGUAGAGAUGAGCACUCCCGUAGGAUGUUGCAUUAUGAAACUCCGGAAAGCAUGUUUUCGUCCAUGUAAUCAAAAAUUAAAAAUCAUCAAUUCUAGAGAUCAGGCACAAAUUGGCCAAUUGAAACUGUAUAGCUUGCAAGAUUACACCUGACAAAUCUUUUGAAGCAAAAAUUCCAAAAUUGCUUUUAUGCUAUUUGUUUCUGUUUGUUUUCUUCAACUUCAGGCUAAGAACAAAUACAUUGAUGAGCGUAUCUAUUGCUUAAGAAAAACUAUUGUAAAACAUUAGAAUAUUCAUUUGCAUUAAUUCAUAUACCAAGAUAGCUUUCAUGUCAUUCCAAUAAUUUGUAACUGUGAUAGCGUUAAUGUUUUUGAUCUGAAAAUAAACUAAAAUUUAUAAAAUGGAAAUUUAUGCCUUUAUAAAUGUAUGUCUUCGAAAGCUUAUGU